CUGCCUGCCUCCAAGACAGAUUAAGAGCUUGUGCUCCAGCUCACAGAAGAUGUCUGUUGGGUGGGUCCCCAUGCAACCGCCCCCUUUCUCUCCACCCAAGAUUUUAACUUCUGCCUUACGUUUUGAAAACUUCCAAGGAUGGAGAUUCCACCACCUCUCUGGACAACCUGUUCCAGUGUUUUACUACCCUCCUACUAAAUGUCCACGACAUGCCCCAAGCAAUAUCUUGGCAUUGCAGGCAGGCCACUGGACAAGACUGGAAGCAACAGGGCUUUCUCUGAAAGAUCAGGCCACACCUUCCUCUCCAGCCAGGUACUGAUACCGUGGCAAUAUGCAGUGAGCCUUUAUGUGUAAGAAUGGAAGAAUGGGAAAGAGGAAACAGAUCUCCAGGAAAAGAAGGAAAAGGGAAAAAAGAAAAACAAGUGUACAUGAUCUCCCAUGCUGCUGGAUAGGUGCUUGUAGUGACAUAACAUGUCCCUUAUUUUUAUUAUCUGUAACAGAGUGUCCUUGGGGUACCAGCAGGGUAGCAAACAGGGCACGUGACCCAAGACAGCAUGAGGGGCUAAAGAAAGAUUUAAAAAAAAAUAAAUACUUUGGUAUUUCA